rnacentral:misc_RNA from 1 species
UAAAUGCGAUACGUAAUGUGAUACGCAAGUUGUCGUGAAUCAUUGAAAUCUUGAACGCAAAUUGCGCUUUUAAGUGAAAGCUUGAAAGCAUAGAUGUUUGAGGGUGGAAUGUAAUAAUAUAUUUGAGUGAAAGCGAUAAUAUGAUGAUUGGGGGUGGUAGCAUUUUUGGUGCCUCCCCUUAAAAAUGAAUAAUAUGGGAAUUGAUUAAAAUUUAUAAUUUUAUAUUGACCCCCACCGCACUUUAUUACCACCUCAAUUAUCUAUGAUAUACCCGCUGAACUUAA